UACGGGGGGGGGCAAGCGUUGUUCGGAAUUACUGGGCGUAAAGGGCGCGUAGGCGGCUCGCUAAGUCGGAUGUGAAAACUCUGGGCUCAACCCAGAGCCUGCAUUCGAAACUGGGGGGCUCGAGUUCUGGAGGGGAAAGCGGAAUUCCUGGUGUAGCGGUGAAAUGCGUAGAUAUCAGGAGGAACACCGGUGGCGAAGGCGGCUUUCUGGACAGAAACUGACGCUGAUGCGCGAAAGCUAGGGGAGCAAACAGGAUUAAGAA
rnacentral:rRNA from 1 species